AGAGCGAACGCUGGCGGCAGGCCUAACACAUGCAAGUCGAGCGCCCGUAGCAAUACGGGAGCGGCAGACGGGAGAGUAACACGUGGGAACGCGCCCUUCGGUUCGGAAUAACUCAGGGAAACUUGAGCUAAUACCGGAUACGCCCUUACGGGGAAAGAUUUAUUGCCGAAGGAACGGCCCGCGUCCGAUUAGCUAGUUGGUGAGGUAAUGGCUCACCAAGGCGACGAUCGGUAGCUGGUCUGAGAGGAUGACCAGCCUCACUGGGACUGAGACACGGCCCAGACUCCUACGGGAGGCAGCAGUGGGGAAUAUUGGACAAUGGGCGCAAGCCUGAUCCAGCCAUGCCGCGUGGACGAUGAAGGCCUUAGGGUUGUAAAGUCCUUUUAACGGGAAGAUAAUGACGGUACCCGUAGAAUAAGCCCGGCUAACUUCGUGCCAGCAGCCGC
rnacentral:rRNA from 1 species